AUUUCGUAGGUUUAACAACAACAUUUUCAUCAUUCACACAAUUCAAUCAAAUUUUAUAGGUUUCACAACAACAUUUUUAUCAUCCCCAUAAUUCAACCAAAUUUCAUGGGUUUAACAACAACAUUUUCAUCAUUCACACAAUUCAAUCAAAUUUUAUAGGUUUCACAACAACAUUUUUAUCAUCCCCAUAAUUCAACCAAAUUUCAUGGGUUUAACAACAACAUUUUCAUCAUUC
rnacentral:lncRNA from 1 species